rnacentral:rRNA from 1 species
AUUGAACGCUGGCGGCAGGCCUAACACAUGCAAGUCGAACGAGCGGCGGACGGGUGAGUAAUGUAUGGGAAACUGCCCGAUAGAGGGGGAUAACUACUGGAAACGGUAGCUAAUACCGCAUACUAUCGGAUGAACCCAUAUGGGAUUAGCUAGUAGGUGGGGUAAAGGCUCACCUAGGCGACGAUCGCUAGCUGGUCUGAGAGGAUGACCAGCCACACUGGAACUGCGACACGGUCCAGACCCCUACGGGAGGCAGCAGUGGGGAAUAUUGCACAAUGGGCGCAAGCCUUAUGCAGCCAUGCCGCGUGUAGGAAGAAGGCCUUAGGGUUGUAAAGUACUUUCAGCGAGGAGGCGUUACCCGCAGAAGAAGCACCGGCUAACUCCGUGCCAGCAGCCGCGGUAAUUC